GUUUCUUUAUUAUAAGUUAAGUAAGAUUAAUUUCCAAUUAAUUAGUCCUAGUAAGAAGAGGAAGAAAUA
rnacentral:tRNA from 1 species